GGGAAACGUGCCCUUCAGUUCGGAACAAACCAAAGGGAAACUUUGGCUAAUACCGGAUACGCCCGAAAGGGGAAAGAUUUAUCGCUGAAGGAUCGGCCCGCGUCUGAUUAGCUAGUUGGUGGGGUAAUGGCUCACCAAGGCGACGAUCAGUAGCUGGUCUGAGAGGAUGAUCAGCCUCACUGGGACUGAGACACGGCCCAGACUCCUACGGGAGGCAGCAGUGGGGAAUAUUGGACAAUGGGCGCAAGCCUGAUCCAGCCAUGCCGCGUGGAUGAUGACGGCCCUAGGGUUGUAAAGUCCUUUCGACGGGGAAGAUAAUGACGGUACCCGUAGAAGAAGCCCCGGCUAACUUCGUGCCAGCAGCCGCGGUAAUACGAAGGGGGCUAGCGUUGCUCGGAAUCACUGGGCGUAAAGCGCACGUAGGCGGCUUUCUAAGUCAGGGGUGAAAUCCUGGAGCUCAACUCCAGAACUGCCUUUGAUACUGGAAAGCUUGAGUUCGGGAGAGGUGAGUGGAACUGCGAGUGUAGAGGUGAAAUUCGUAGAUAUUCGCAAGAACACCAGUGGCGAAGGCGGCUCACUGGCCCG
rnacentral:rRNA from 1 species